GACGAACGCUGGCGGCGUGCUUAACACAUGCCAGUCGAACGGAAAGGCCCUGCUUUUGUGGGGUGCUCGAGUGGCGAACGGGUGAGUAACACGUGAGUAACCUGCCCUUGACUUUGGGAUAACUUCAGGAAACUGGGGCUAAUACCGGAUAGGAGCUCCUGCUGCAUGGUGGGGGUUGGAAAGUUUCGGCGGUUGGGGAUGGACUCGCGGCUUAUCAGCUUGUUGGUGGGGUAGUGGCUUACCAAGGCUUUGACGGGUAGCCGGCCUGAGAGGGUGACCGGCCACAUUGGGACUGAGAUACGGCCCAGACUCCUACGGGAGGCAGCAGUGGGGAAUAUUGCGCAAUGGGCGGAAGCCUGAUGCAGCAACGCCGCGUGCGGGAUGACGGCCUUCGGGUUGUAAACCGCUUUCGCCUGUGACGAAGCGUGAGUGACGGUAAUGGGUAAAGAAGCACCGGCUAACUACGUG
rnacentral:rRNA from 1 species